AAUCGCUGCGCACACAGCCAAGUAGACACGGACUGUUAACACACGAGUGAGAGAGAAGAAGAUAGUUUUAUACCGGAGAGGAGAGAGGAGCGUCUGAGCAACUGUGCUUGCACUGAUAAACUAGCAAAGCUCUUAAGUCUCACUUAUUGGGCCUAAUGUUAUGUUCGUGUGUGUGAGCCACUGCCGACUCCACUUUCUCCUGUGCUAUGCUAUCGUUAGCUUCUCAGACACGGGAGCUUUCUGAAAAGAUCAUUUGAAACCAUCAGCCACUGGAAUGAUGAGCGUUCUGGAAACUCAUGUGAAACACCAUUACCAAACAGCAACAACUACACAUCCUUCUUCCAGGCGAUCUUGGUGUUGACGGUCUGGGAACAGCGGGGACAUUGGACCAAACCGGG
rnacentral:lncRNA from 1 species